CGCACGGGUGAGUAACACGUAUCCAACCUGCCGUCUACUCUUGGCCAGCCUUCUGAAAGGAAGAUUAAUCCAGGAUGGGAUCAUGAGUUCACAUGUCCGCAUGAUUAAAGGUAUUUUCCGGUAGACGAUGGGGAUGCGUUCCAUUAGAUAGUAGGCGGGGUAACGGCCCACCUAGUCAACGAUGGAUAGGGGUUCUGAGAGGAAGGUCCCCCGCAUUGGAACUGAGACACGGUCCAA
rnacentral:rRNA from 1 species